rnacentral:rRNA from 1 species
CCUAUAAGUAAAAGCCCGACGCGGAGACCCGAAAGGGAGGAGGCGGCGGGGGUUGACAAAGCCGGGCCAGAUGGAUAGACUGGCAAGGUUGUUCGGAGCCGGAAACGGUUUCCGGGACAAGAAACAAGCGGAACAAAAGAAACAAGCGGAUCAUUGACAACUAAAUAGGAGCAGCAACGAUCGACGGGCCCGCAGAAACACGUUCUUUCCGAAAGGGAAGGACAAAAGAGCAAAUCUGGAGAGUUUGAUCCUGGCUCAGAACGAACGCUGGCGGCGUGCCUAACACAUGCAAGUCCGACGUGAAAGGGGAGCAAUCCCCCGGUAGGGUGGCAAACGGGUGAGUAAUACAUGGGUGAUCUACCCUGGAGAUGGGGAUAUCCCUCCGAAAGGGGGGGCAAUACCG